rnacentral:rRNA from 1 species
AUGACCAAAGACAACUUGUUAAAGAGAGGGAUUACUAAACCACCUGAAUGUGUUUUUUGCAAGGAACAUGAAUCCAUAGAUCACCUGUUCUUUGGCUGUGUGGUUGCUAAACAAAUCUGGAGUGAAAUGUCUAGAAUUCUUUCUCAUGAUGUAGGUAACAACUACCUAUCCAUUGCUAGAUUCUGGCCAGCCCAUAAAAACAAACUAGUCUUGAACUCUGUUUGUGCCUGUGUUAUGUGGUGCAUCUGGAAGUUUAGAAAUUCUAUGGUUUUCAAUAAUGUGUUGUGGUAUGACCUCAAACAGAUAUGGUGGCAGAUUCAUUUGACUCUCAAGAAGUGGAUGAUCCUGUUCAAAGAAUCUCCCUUGGAAGAGUUGAAGAUGGUUUCUCAAAAAGUUGCAGUGAUCCUCACCUCCCCUUUCCUGCUGACUGUGGGGUGA